CUGUAUGCAUAUUUUCAAACAAAAAAGUCUCAUUAUUAACAUAGAAAUAAUAAUUUUUAUUUAAUUUCCACAGGUAAAUUUACCUUUGAUCAAAUUAGACACUAAUGACUAAAACAACAUAUUUCGAAUAACAACAUGUAUUGUUCUUCCACUAAUCCCCUAUGUAGGAAUAGCCAGAAUAGUAAAAUACAAAAUGUAGGAAUAGCCAGAAGACACCCCAGAAGCAUAUAGACAGAAAUUUAGAUCUUAUAAAAAGUUUGAUUCGCAAACCUAUGUGGAAUUUGCUCGGGAAAAAGAAGAUUUAUUUGAUAAAUGGCUUACUUCAAAGAAAACAGAUAUCAAUUUUGAUAACCUAAGACAAUUGAUGUUAUUAGAAGAGUUCAAACAAUGUGUUCAUUUAGACUUAAAAACACAUUUAGACGACAAAACUGUUGGGACAAUACAUGAUGCAGC
rnacentral:lncRNA from 1 species